AGUGAACGCUGGCGGUAGGCCUAACACAUGCAAGUCGAACGGCAGCACAGUAAGAGCUUGCUCUUACGGGUGGCGAGUGGCGGACGGGUGAGGAAUACAUCGGAAUCUACUUUUUCGUGGGGGAUAACGUGGGGAAACUUACGCUAAUACCGCAUACGACCUACGGGUGAAAGCAGGGGAUCUUCGGACCUUGCGCGAUUGAAUGAGCCGAUGUCGGAUUAGCUAGUUGGCGGGGUAAAGGCCCACCAAGGCGACGAUCCGUAGCUGGUCUGAGAGGAUGAUCAGCCACACUGGAACUGAGCCACGGUCCAGACUCCUACGGGAGGCAGCAGUGGGGAAUAUUGGACAAUGGGCGCAAGCCUGAUCCAGCCAUACCGCGUGGGUGAAGAAGGCCUUCGGGUUGUAAAGCCCUUUUGUUGGGAAAGAAAAGCAGCAGGUUAAUACCCCGCUGUUCUGACGGUACCCAAAGAGUAAGCACCGGCUAACUUCGUG
rnacentral:rRNA from 1 species